UGCAAGUCGAGCGGACAGAUGGGAGCUUGCUCCCUGAUGUUAGCGGCGGACGGGUGAGUAACACGUGGGUAACCUGCCUGUAAGACUGGGAUAACUCCGGGAAACCGGGGCUAAUACCGGAUGGUUGUUUGAACCGCAUGGUUCAAACAUAAAAGGUGGCUUCGGCUACCACUUACAGAUGGACCCGCGGCGCAUUAGCUAGUUGGUGAGGUAAUGGCUCACCAAGGCAACGAUGCGUAGCCGACCUGAGAGGGUGAUCGGCCACACUGGGACUGAGACACGGCCCAGACUCCUACGGGAGGCAGCAGUAGGGAAUCUUCCGCAAUGGACGAAAGUCUGACGGAGCAACGCCGCGUGAGUGAUGAAGGUUUUCGGAUCGUAAAGCUCUGUUGUUAGGGAAGAACAAGUACCGUUCGAAUAGGGCGGUACCUUGACGGUACCUAACCAGAAAGCCACGGCUAACUACGUGCCAGCAGCCGCGGUAAUACGUAGGUGGCAAGCGUUGUCCGGAAUUAUUGGGCGUAAAGGGCUCGCAGGCGGUUUCUUAAGUCUGAUGUGAAAGCCCCCGGCUCAACCGGGGAGGGUCAUUGGAAACUGGGGAACUUGAGUGCAGAAGAGGAGAGUGGAAUUCCACGUGUAGCGGUGAAAUGCGUAGAGAUGUGGAGGAACACCAGUGGCGAAGGCGACUCUCUGGUCUGUAACUGACGCUGAGGAGCGAAAGCGUGGGGAGCGAACAGGAUUAGAUACCCUGGUAGUCCACGCCGUAAACGAUGAGUGCUAAGUGUUAGGGGGUUUCCGCCCCUUAGUGCUGCAGCUAACGCAUUAAGCACUCC
rnacentral:rRNA from 1 species